rnacentral:misc_RNA from 1 species
AACAAGGCGUACCUGCGGACCUGCGGAAGGAUCAUUACCGAGUUUACAAACUCCCAACCCUAUGUGAACCUUACCAAUCGUUGCUUCGGCGGGCUUAGCCCCCGCGCCCUCGCCGGCGCCGGGAGAAAGGCGCCCGCCGGGGACCCCAAACCCAAUGUUUUUCAUGCAGUAUUUCUGAGUGGCAAACGCAAAAAUAAAUCAAAACUUUCAGCAAUGGAUCU